AUGGCUGGACCUACAUUGAUGCACUGCCUGCUCGCCGUCUCUCUCCUCUCCUCCGUUGUCCACGCGCAGCUCUCGACGACUUUCUACUCCAGGUCCUGCCCCAGCCUGGAGAACACCGUGUGGGCGGUGAUGAAGCAGGCCGUCGUCAAGGACCGGCGGAUGGGCGCGUCGCUUCUGAGGCUCUUCUUCCACGACUGCUUCGUCCAGGGCUGUGACGGCUCGGUUCUUCUCGACGCCGGCGGCGAGAAGCAAGCCGCACCGAACGCCAACUCCCUGCGCGGCUUCGAGGUCAUCGACGCCAUCAAGGCGCGCGUGGAGGCCGCGUGCCCCGGCGUCGUCUCCUGCGCCGACAUCCUCGCGCUCGCGGCGCGCGACGGAACGUUCCUGCUCCACGGACCGACCUGGCCAGUGCCGCUCGGCCGGCGCGACUCGACGACGGCGAGCCAGUCCCUCGCCAACAAUAACCUUCCCUCGGUGAACUCCAGCCUCGCCACGCUCAUCUCCAUGUUCGCGAGGCAAGGGCUCUCGCCGACCGACAUGACGGCGCUGUCCGGCGCGCACACCAUCGGCCAGGCCCGGUGCACCACCUUCCGCGACCGCAUCUACGGCAACUCCAACAUCGACGCGACCUUCGCGAAGCGGCAGCAGCGGACCUGCCCCCUCUCCGGCGCGGACAACAACCUGGCGCCCUUGGACGUGCAGACCCUGAGGGCAUUCGACACCGCCUACUACCAGAACCUCAUGGCUCACCGCGGCCUGUUCCGCUCCGACCAGGAGCUCUUCAGCGGAGGGUCGCAGGACGCGCUGGUGCGGCAGUACAGCGCCAACCCCGCACUCUUCCGGAGCGACUUCGUCAAGGCGAUGGUGAAGAUGGGCAACAUUAAUCCUCUCACUGGCACCGCCGGCCAGGUCAGGAGAAACUGCAGAUUCGUCAACAGCUAG
rnacentral:rRNA from 1 species